AACAUGCUCCCUUAGAUCCACCUUUUGUGGAUGUUCAGCUCGUUCUGAGUUCUGCUGGGUCCUUCCAGCAGUUCCAGUCCAGUGGCAUCCAGCAACUUUUUUGGUUGUACAGUCAAAGGUGCUUGAGUCAUUGGCAUGUGAGAAUAACAUACCUUCACAUUAGCUAUCUAUGUUCUAAUGGCAGCGGCUGCAGUCUUACUGUGCGUCGUGUCUCACCAAUAGGACUUGGCUGAUGUGUGGACAAA